rnacentral:rRNA from 1 species
UACCAGCCCCCUGAGUGGUAGGGACGAUUAUUUGGCCUAAAGCGUCCGUAGCUUGCUUAGUAAGUCCUUCGUCAAAUCCGACGACUCAAUCGUCGGCCCGCGGAAGAUACUGCUAGGCUUGAGGACGGGAGAGGUCGACGGUAGUCCCGGGGUAGGGGUGAAAUCCUAUAAUCCCGGGAGGACCACCAGUGGCGAAGGCGGUCGACUAGAACGUGCCUGACGGUGAUGGACGAAAGCUGGGGGAGCGAACCGGAUUAGACACCCGGGUAGUCCCAGCUGUAAACGAUGCAAGCUAGGUGUUGGAACAACUACGAGUUGCUCCGGUGCCGCAGAGAAGUUGUUAAGCUUGCCGCCUGGGGAGUACGGCCGCAAGGCUGAAACUUAAAGGAAUUGGGCGGGGAGCACCACAAGGGGUGAAGCUUGCGGUUU